GGAGAGGGAGGCAUGAGGGAGAGGGAGGCAUGAGGGAGAGGGAGGCUUAUGGGAGAGGGAGGCUUGGGGGAGAGGGCGGUAUGAGGGAGAGGGAGGUAUGAGGGAGAGGGAGGCUUGGGGGAGAGGGAGGUAUGAGGGAGAGGGAGGUAUGAGGGAGAGGGAGGCUUGGGGGAGAGGGAGGCAUGGGGAGAGGGCGGUAUGGGGGAGAGGAGGUAUGGGGGAGAGGGCGGUAUGGGGGAGAGGGAGGCUUGGAGGAGAGGGAGGCUUGGGGGAGAGGGAGGCUUGGGGGAGAGGGAGACAUGGAGGAGAGGGAGGCUUGGAGGAGAGGGAGACAUGGAGGAGAGGGAGACAUGGAGGAGAGGGAGGCUUGGAGGAGAGGGAGGCUUGGAGGAGAGGGAGACAUGGAGGAGAGGGAGACAUGGAGGAGAGGGAGGCUUGGAGGAGAGGGAGGCUUGGGGGAGAGGGAGACAUGGAGGAGAGGGAGGCUUGGGGGAGAGGGAGACAUGGAGGAGAGGGAGGCUUGGGGGAGAGGGAGGCUUGGAGGAGAGGGAGGCUUGGGGGAGAGGGAGGCUUGGAGGAGAGGGAGGCUUGGGGGAGAGGGAGACAUGGAGGAGAGGGAGGCUUGGGGGAGAGGGAGGCUUGGAGGAGAGGGAGGCUUGGGGGAGAGGGAGGCUUGGAGGAGAGGGAGGCUUGGGGGAGAGGGAGGCUUGGGGGAGAGGGAGGCUUGGAGGAGAGGGAAGCUUGGGGGAGAGGGAGGCUUGGGGGAGAGGGAGGCUUGGGGGAGAGGGAGGCUUGGGGGAGAGGGAGGCUUGGAGGAGAGGGAGGCUUGGAGGAGAGGGAAGCUUGGGGGAGAGGGCCUUAGACCGCUGCGCCACUCGGGAGCCC
ensembl:lncRNA